rnacentral:pre_miRNA from 1 species
CUAUAUAGAUUUUGUAUGGAAUUGGAACGUUUGCCUACGUUUACCGCUAGGGGCGCUGAUCUAACUGCAUACAAAUUUGAGUUA